UACGUAGGAGGCAAGCGUUGUCCGGAAUUACUGGGCGUAAAGCGCGUGUAGGCGGAUGCCUAAGUCUGUGGUGAAAGCGCCUGGCUUAACCGGGCGAGGUCCAUGGAAACUAGGCGUCUGGAGGCCGGUAGAGGGGGGUGGAAUUCCGGGUGUAGUGGUGAAAUGUGUAGAGAUCCCGAGGAAUACCAGUGGUGAAGACGGUGCCCUGGGCCAUACCUGACGCUGAGAUGCGAAAGCGUGGGGAGCGAACGGG
rnacentral:rRNA from 1 species